GAUGAACGCUGGCGGCGUGCCUAAUACAUGCAAGUCGAGCGAACGGACGAGAAGCUUGCUUCUCUGAUGUUAGCGGCGGACGGGUGAGUAACACGUGGAUAACCUACCUAUAAGACUGGGAUAACUUCGGGAAACCGUAGCUAAUACCGGAUAAUAUUUUGAACCGCAUGGUUCAAAAGUGAAAGACGGUCUUGCUGUCACUUAUAGAUGGAUCCGGGCUGCAUUAGCUAGUUGGUAAGGUAACGGCUUACCAAGGCAACGAUGCAUAGCCGACCUGAGAGGGUGAUCAGCCACACUGGAACUGAGACACGGUCCAGACUCCUACGGGAGGCAGCAGUAGGGAAUCUUCGGCAAUGGGCGAAAGCCUGACGGAGCAACGCCGCGUGAGUGAUGAAGGUCUUCGGAUCGUAAAACUCUGUUAUUAGGGAAGAACAUAUGUGUAAGUAACUGUGCACAUCUUGACGGUACCUAAUCAGAAAGCCACGGCUAACUACGUG
rnacentral:rRNA from 1 species